rnacentral:lncRNA from 1 species
CGGGCCGGGAGCUCUGGCCGGAGAGUGAUGGUGGCAGCGAUGGCAAUGGGCCGGGCAGGGACCAUGGAAGUGGUGGCAGAGGUGGCAGGAGUGGGGCAGCUGGCGGUGGAGAAGGCUGUGGUCUUCAGGGGUCUGUAGGUGGAGGCAUGGCUCGGGCCAGCAGCAGGAACAGCAGCGAAGAGGCCUGGGGGGCACUUCAGGCUCCGCAACAGCAGCAGAGUCCGGCAGCAUCUUCUCUUGAGGGAGCAAUUUGGAGACGAGCUGGAACCCAGACUCGCGCCCUGGAUGCCAUCCUUUAUCAUCCACAGCAAUCCCAUCUGGUUGGGAGCACUGCUCUGGGUCUCACACUGCUCCUCCUCUACCCUAGGGAGCUUGAGACCCAGGGGUGGAAAAAAAAAAUCUGUCCCGGGAGUGUGGGAGGCAGAUCUUCUGGGUGGGAGAUGUUAAAAGCUUUUUAGCUUUGGAAAUGGUCUUAAAUUCCUACACAUCGUCAGGACUAUGUUUUGUUUCUCCUAAAACAUUACCUUACCAAAAACCACCCUUGGGGCUAGGCUUAUGUGAGAAAAGUCUUGGGUUAAAAGAACUGAAGUCACCUUUGUGUAUUUAUACUCUACUUUCUACACUAGUUUCUGGCUAUUCUAAAUCUUCCAUACUGACAACCCUACAUACAGACACUCAUUUUAGCAUCCCCAUGCCAUCCUUCUAAGCUAGGUUGGCUCGUGGGUGGGAUUGUGUAUGUGCGUGCAGGAGGUGGGGGUGGACAGGGCCUUGGAUAGAAUCCCCUAGUUCUUAGUGCCUCCUUGCCUCCAGCUUCGAGAGCUGUGCCCAGGAGUGAAUACCCAGCCCUACCUCUGUGAGAGUGGCCAUUGCUGUGGGGAGACUGGCUGCUGCACCUACUACUAUGAA